rnacentral:rRNA from 1 species
UACGGGGGGCGCAAGCGUUGUCCGGAAUUAUUGGGCGUAAAGAGCUCGUAGGUGGCUUGUUGCGUCUGCCGUGAAAUCCCCGGGCUCAACCCGGGAACUGCGUCCGAUACUGGCAGGCUUGAAUCCGGGAGAGGGAUGCGGAAUUCCAGGUGUAGCGGUGAAAUGCGUAGAUAUCUGGAGGAACACCGGUGGCGAAGGCGGCAUCCUGGACCGGCAUUGACGCUGAGGCGCGAAAGCCCAGGGGAGCAAACGGG